rnacentral:rRNA from 1 species
UACGGAAGGCAGCAGUGGGGAAUAUUGCACAAUGGGCGAAAGCCUGAUGCAGCUAUGCCGCGUGUAUGAAGAAGGCCUUAGGGUUGUAAAGUACUUUCAUCGGGGAGGAAAAACAAACUAAUAAUUUUAUUUCUUGACGUUACCCGAAAAAGAAGCACCGGCUAACUCCGUGCCAGCAGCCGCGGUAAUACGGAGGGUGCUAGCGUUAAUCAGAAUUACUGGGCGUAAAGAGCACGUAGGUGGUUUUUUAAGUCAGAUGUGAAAUCCCUGGGCUUAACCUAGGAACUGCAUUUUGAAACUGAAAUACUAGAGUAUCGUAGAGGGAGGUAGAAUUCUAGGUGUAGCGGUGAAAUGCGUAGAUAUCUGGAGGAAUACCUGUGGCGAAAAGCGGCCUCCUAAAACGAAUAACUGACACUGAGGUGCGAAAAGCGUGGGGAGCAAAACAGGGAUUAGAUACC